rnacentral:rRNA from 1 species
AGUGAACGCUGGCGGUAGGCCUAACACAUGCAAGUCGAACGGCAGCACAGUAAGAGCUUGCUCUUACGGGUGGCGAGUGGCGGACGGGUGAGGAAUACAUCGGAAUCUACUUUUUCGUGGGGGAUAACGUAGGGAAACUUACGCUAAUACCGCAUACGACCUACGGGUGAAAGCAGGGGAUCUUCGGACCUUGCGCGAUUGAAUGCGCCGAUGUCGGAUUAGCUAGUUGGCGGGGUAAAGGCCCACCAAGGCGACGAUCCGUAGCUGGUCUGAGAGGAUGAUCAGCCACACGGGAACUGAGACACGGUCCAGACGCCUACGGGAGGCAGCAGUGGGGAAUAUUGGACAAUGGGGGCAAGCAUGAUCCAGCCAUACCGAGUGGGUGAAGAAGGCCUUCGGGUUGUAAAGCCCUUUCGUUGGGAAAGAAAAGCAGCAGGUUAAUACCCAGCUGUUCUGACGGUAACCAAAGAAUAAGCACCGGCUAACUUCGUG